rnacentral:rRNA from 1 species
AACGAACGCUGGCGGCAGGCCUAACACAUGCAAGUCGAGCGGGUCCUUCGGGACUAGCGGCGGACGGGUUAGUAACGCGUGGGAACGUGCCCAAAGGUACGGAACAGCCUCGGGAAACUGAGAGUAAUACCGUAUGUGCCCCUCGGGGGAAAGAUUUAUCGCCUUUGGAUCGGCCCGCGUUGGAUUAGGUAGUUGGUGGGGUAAUGGCCUACCAAGCCGACGAUCCAUAGCUGGUUUGAGAGGAUGAUCAGCAACACUGGGACUGAGACACGGCCCAGACUCCUACGGGAGGCAGCAGUGGGGAAUCUUAGACAAUGGGGGAAACCCUGAUCUAGCCAUGCCGCGUGGACGAUGAAGGCCUUAGGGUUGUAAAGUCCUUUCAGCUGGAAGAUAAUGACGGUACCAGCAGAAGAAGCCCCGGCUAACUCCGUGCCAGCAGCCGCCGUAACAC